rnacentral:misc_RNA from 1 species
UUAACGAAUUUCAAACAUAUUUCCCAAACACAUGCGCAUUGCGCUAAAAAAAAAAAA